GAAAUGACACACUGAUGUUGUUAGCAUUAUGUAAAUGUUUUAUGUUAAAACUAAUGCCACCAAUUGAUUUUUAACUUUAAACACAAGUAUGUUGUUUUGAAUUUAAUUAACAACACAAUAUUUCAAUACAACAAAAUUCAGUAAAUUAAAUCCAACGUAAAAAGUUCAUUUAAAAUGAAGAGCACUUUAAUUUAAAGAGGAUUGUCCUAAUAGGCUCUCCGUACUUCUGAGUUUGCACAUGUGCAGUGUGGAAGUUUGAUCAUCCGCCAUUUUCAACUGAGACUUGCAUGUGCUUAGUAUCCUGGAUAGAAUCCAUCGCCAUCUGAGGAUUAUUUGGUGAGACUUGCCUACUAAGACUGAUAGUUUUAAAAUUACUCCCAACAUCUACCGCACCUGCUGCCUGACAUCAGUAAUGACCGCCGGGAGCGCCAGCGAUCCUGUAGUUUGAAGAAUGAAAUGUUGGUUAGCUAGUUCUGUCUCUCAAUAGAUGCAACAAAAGUGGCUCAGAUGUGGUUGUUUUAAAUGUGGAAGUGCAGACAGUGUGCUGAAAGUGUUUUGACAAGAAUCCCAGCAUUGAUGUUCGACGGGAAUGCAUUCUGAAAGCUGUCUGUGUCUACUUAAAUGAAAAGCCAGAUGACCUGUUCAAGGAAUUCUUAGAUGUGGAUCUUGGUGCAAGCAGAGAAACGGAGCAGCUGACUUUGGGAGUCUAUGUUGUCAGACAUGAAGGAGCAGACUCUGCAGAUACACCUGAGGACAUUGGUGUCAUCAUAGAAGGAUGCACUGUGCUGCGAGCUCUUAGUGAUGUGGCAAAGGGGUGUGCCCUCCUGCUUGGACUAAUCUACAGUCUAAAUCUGAGCUACCCAAAGCACCUGAAAUACACAUUUGAAUUUCUUCAGAAGGUGCUGAUGGAGUUGGAUGGGAACAACCUAUCCAUGAAGGUGCAGGUUCUGAAAAACAAACUGCUUGAGUGAAACAGCCUGCACUGAACUAUAGAGGACACUGAACUUUAAGGUUCUCGAACCCUUCUCCUUGCACUUCAUAAACUGUUCAGUUUGAAUUGCCGCACGAACUUCUGCAAGCCUUUCACUUUUCUGCGUUCUUUGUUCUUGAACCUUUACCAACAUCCAACUACACUGAAAAAGAUUGCUCCUAACUUUGGACUUCAGUUUAAGUUUUGAAGCAAAGGUUAUUUUUCUAAAUAUGGACAAAAAUGACACUAAAGUAAUUUCUACCUGCUGUUUGUAGGGCUGUAUUGUGGGAUUUUCAUUGUAGCCCAGUCAAGUUUAAAAUAAGUCAUGUUAAUGUUAAAAAUGUUAGAAUCACAACACUUUCCAGUUUUAAUCAUUUCGGUUUAGCAUGACAUUCUGUAUCUUGUCUUUCUGCACUUAUAAUGCACUUGAAUAUAUGUAAAGAUUGUUUAUGAAAAAAGAUCUAAAAGCAUUUGAAUUACUCAAAGUGUUUACACACAAGUUUUACACAAAGUAUUAUUAAAGUUAGGUUAACUGAACAAACUUGUGUUCGAUUUAUUUAAUUUACAAA